GGUUCAGUGGGACAACAGGGGGGUUUAUGGGACAGUGGUUCAGUGGGACAACAGGGGGGUUUAUGGGACAGUGGUAUAGAGGUUCAGUGGGACAACAGGGGGGUUUAUGGGACAGUGGUUCAGUGGGACAACAGGGGGGUUUAUGGGACAGUGGUAUAGAGGUUCAGUGGGACAACAGGGGGGUUUAUGGGACAGUGGUAUAGAGGUUCAGUGGGACAACAGGGGGGUUUAUGGGACAGUGGUUCAGUGGGACAACAGGGGGGUUUAUGGGACAGUGGUAUAGAGGUUCAGUGGGACAACAGGGGGGUUUAUGGGACAGUGGUAUAGAGGUUCAGUGGGACAACAGGGGGGUUUAUGGGACAGUGGUAUAGAGGUUCAGUGGGACAACAGGGGGGUUUAUGGGACAGUGGUAUAGAGGUUCAGUGGGACAACAGGGGGGUUUAUGGGACAGUGGUAUAGAGGUUCAGUGGGACAACAGGGGGGUUUAUGGGACAGUGGUUCAGUGGGACA